GGGAAGGAUGAGAAGCUUCGACCAAGGUUCGACUUGAGCGCCAGCGAGAGAGCGUUGCCGCAGGCAACGACCCGAAGGGCGAAGCGCGCAGCGCUGAGUAAUCCUUCCCCCACCACCA
rnacentral:sRNA from 1 species